AGGACGAACGCUGGCGGCGUGCUUAACACAUGCAAGUCGAGCGGUAAGGCCCUUCGGGGUACACGAGCGGCGAACGGGUGAGUAACACGUGGGUGACCUGCCCUCAGCUCUGGGAUAAGCCUGGGAAACUGGGUCUAAUACCGGAUAUGACCUCAUGUCGCAUGGCAUUGGGUGGAAAGUUUUUCGGCUGGGGAUGGGCCCGCGGCCUAUCAGCUUGUUGGUGGGGUGAUGGCCUACCAAGGCGACGACGGGUAGCCGGCCUGAGAGGGGCGACCGGGCCAACGACGUGGGACUGAGACACGGCCCAGACUCCUACGGGAGGCAGCAGUGGGGAAUAUUGCGCAAUGGGCGAAAGCCUGACGCAGCGACGCCGCGUGGGGGAUGACGGCCUUCGGGUUGUAAACCGUACUUCGUCCAGGGACGAAGCGCCAAGUGACGGUACCUCGGAGUAAGAAGCGACCGGCCGAACUACGUCGCCAGCGAGCCGCGGU
rnacentral:rRNA from 1 species